rnacentral:rRNA from 1 species
GAGUCAUUGGGACUCUGAUAAACCUAAAGGCGCAAUGAAAGUAAAAGUCCGCCUAGCGCGGACCGAGGGAGGAUGAGACCGUCCUCGGACGUACUCCGCACUCCCGGGGCGUCUCGUUCUCAUCGCGAGAAGAGGCGCACCCAGAGCGUACACGCUGGGACCCGAAAGAUGGUGAACUAUGCCUGGUCAGGACGAAGUCAGGGGAAACCCUGAUGGAGGUCCGUAGCGAUUCUGACGUGCAAAUCGAUCGUCGGAACUGGGUAUAGGGGCGAAAGACUAAUCGAACCUUCUAGUAGCUGGUUCCCUCCGAAGUUUCCCUCAGGAUAGCUGGCGCUCGCAUUGCGAGUCUCAUUCGGUAAAGCGAAUGAUUAGAGGCAUUGGGGUCGAAACGGCCUCAACCUAUUCUCAAACUUUAAAUGGGUGAGAUCUCCGGCUUGCUUAAAUAGUGAAGCCGCGAGAUUAUUAUUCGGAUCAAUGAGUGCCAAGUGGGCCACUUUUGGUAAGCAGAACUGGCGCUGUGGGAUGAACCAAACGCCGAGUUAAAGCGCCAAAAUCGACGCUUAUGGGAUACCAUGAAAGGCGUUGGUAACUUAAGACAGCAGGACGGUGG